GUUUGUAUUUUGGCAGUGAAGUGUUCCUGUAACAUUCUAAUGCAUCACAUAUCCACAAGGGCUGCCUUGCUUAAAUUAUAUUUUCUGGCCUAAGAUUAUUUAACGUCAAAAUAAAACUACAAUAAAUAGCCACUACAUCUGCAAUAUCUUGGCUGUCCCCCUUCAUCAUGUGUCAAAUCUUAAGACAUGAAGGCAUGUAAAAAAGGUAACUGAAUAGUUGGUUACUCAACAAAAGUGCAACUGGUGGACUUUAUAUACCAGUGUGUUUUCUAUAUUACCUUUAAUGCAUUUUUAUUUCUUGUAGAAUAGACAUUACUUAAAAUAUCGAAAAGUCUUCAACUAGAAACCAGUGAUAUAGAACUUUCAUUUUAAGUAUUCUUAAAAACAUAAUUGUUACUUUGUAACACAGCAUUCCCAUGAAAGGGAAAUUACAUGUUUAAUACAAUGAUUUUCUAUGGAAAAUAUUGGAUGCAUGCGCAGCACUUGCCGUGUAUGUGAAUCAGGUCCCCACUUCUCCUCUAUAAAGAGCAUUUGAUUGGACCACCACUAGAGGAGACCAUGAAGUGAGGUGAGAAGCACCAAGACAGCCUCUGCUCUGGAAAAGGGUAAAUAAAACUUUUAUCUUAUUUAUUUUUAUGGCACAU